UGGGAGAUAGGGGGUGGGAAAUGGGGGAGGGCCCUUGGUGCUGUAGGGGUGUCCCUGGUAGCCUGGGUGUGGCUCAGGUGUGUCCCUGGUGCCCUGGGGUUGGUUUAGGGGUGUCCCUGAAGCUCUGGGUGUCACUCAGGUGUAUCCCUGUCACUCCAGGUGUCACUCAGGUGUAUCCCUGUCACUCCAGGUGUCACUCAGGUGUAUCCCUGUCACUCCAGGUGUCACUCAGGUGUAUCCCCACCACCCCAGGUGUCACUCAGGUGUAUCCCUGUCACUCCAGGUGUCACUCAGGUGUAUCCCUGUCACUCCAGGUGUCACUCAGGUGUGUCCCCACCACCCCAGGUGUCACUCAGGUGUAUCCCUGUCACUCCAGGUGUCACUCAGGUGUACCCCUCCUGCUCCAGGUGUCACUCAGGUGUAUCCCUGUCACCCCAGGUGUCACUCAGGUGUGUCCCCACCACCCCAGGUGUCACUCAGGUGUAUCCCCGUCACUCCAGGUGUCACUCAGGUG